UCAGGACGAACGCUGGCGGCGUGCCUAAUACAUGCAAGUCGAACGAACUCUGGUAUUGAUUGGUGCUUGCAUCAUGAUUUACAUUUGAGUGAGUGGCGAACUGGUGAGUAACACGUGGGAAACCUGCCCAGAAGCGGGGGAUAACACCUGGAAACAGAUGCUAAUACCGCAUAACAACUUGGACCGCAUGGUCCGAGCUUGAAAGAUGGCUUCGGCUAUCACUUUUGGAUGGUCCCGCGGCGUAUUAGCUAGAUGGUGGGGUAACGGCUCACCAUGGCAAUGAUACGUAGCCGACCUGAGAGGGUAAUCGGCCACAUUGGGACUGAGACACGGCCCAAACUCCUACGGGAGGCAGCAGUAGGGAAUCUUCCACAAUGGACGAAAGUCUGAUGGAGCAACGCCGCGUGAGUGAAGAAGGGUUUCGGCUCGUAAAACUCUGUUGUUAAAGAAGAACAUAUCUGAGAGUAACUGUUCAGGUAUUGACGGUAUUUAACCAGAAAGCCACGGCUAACUACGUGCCAGCAGCCGCGGUAAUACGUAGGUGGCAAGCGUUGUCCGGAUUUAUUGGGCGUAAAGCGAGCGCAGGCGGUUUUUUAAGUCUGAUGUGAAAGCCUUCGGCUCAACCGAAGAAGUGCAUCGGAAACUGGGAAACUUGAGUGCAGAAGAGGACAGUGGAACUCCAUGUGUAGCGGUGAAAUGCGUAGAUAUAUGGAAGAACACCAGUGGCGAAGGCGGCUGUCUGGUCUGUAACUGACGCUGAGGCUCGAAAGUAUGGGUAGCAAACAGGAUUAGAUACCCUGGUAGUCCAUACCGUAAACGAUGAAUGCUAAGUGUUGGAGGGUUUCCGCCCUUCAGUGCUGCAGCUAACGCAUUAAGCAUUCCGCCUGGGGAGUACGGCCGCAAGGCUGAAACUCAAAGGAAUUGACGGGGGCCCGCACAAGCGGUGGAGCAUGUGGUUUAAUUCGAAGCUACGCGAAGAACCUUACCAGGUCUUGACAUACUAUGCAAAUCUAAGAGAUUAGACGUUCCCUUCGGGGACAUGGAUACAGGUGGUGCAUGGUUGUCGUCAGCUCGUGUCGUGAGAUGUUGGGUUAAGUCCCGCAACGAGCGCAACCCUUAUUAUCAGUUGCCAGCAUUAAGUUGGGCACUCUGGUGAGACUGCCGGUGACAAACCGGAGGAAGGUGGGGGAUGACGUCAAAUCAUCAUGCCCCUUAUGACCUGGGCUACACACGUGCUACAAUGGAUGGUACAACGAGUUGCGAACUCGCGAGAGUAAGCUAAUCUCUUAAAGCCAUUCUCAGUUCGGAUUGUAGGCUGCAACUCGCCUACAUGAAGUCGGAAUCGCUAGUAAUCGCGGAUCAGCAUGCCGCGGUGAAUACGUUCCCGGGGCCUUGUACACACCGCCCGUCACACCAU
rnacentral:rRNA from 1 species